rnacentral:rRNA from 1 species
UACGAAGGGGGCUAGCGUUGCUCGGAAUCACUGGGCGUAAAGGGCGCGUAGGCGGCCAUUCAAGUCGGGGGUGAAAGCCUGUGGCUCAACCACAGAAUUGCCUUCGAUACUGUUUGGCUUGAGUAUGGCAGAGGUCAGUGGAACUGCGAGUGUAGAGGUGAAAUUCGUAGAUAUUCGCAAGAACACCAGUGGCGAAGGCG